rnacentral:rRNA from 1 species
UACGUAGGGUGCAGGCGUUAAUCGGAAUUACUGGGCGUAAAGCGUGCGCAGGCGGUUUGCUAAGACAGAUGUGAAAUCCCUCGGCUCAACCGAGGAAUUGCGCUUGAUACUGCCGUGCUCGAGGGAGACAGAGGUGAGCGGAACUUAGGGUGGAGCGGUGAAAUGCGUUGAUAUCAUCAGGAACACCGGAGGCGAAAGCGGUCCACUGGGUCCUUUCUGACGCUGAUGGGACGAAAAGCUGAGGGGA